UUACCUACGGGGGCAGCAGUGGGGAAUAUUGGACAAUGGGGGGAACCCUGAUCCAGCGACGCCGCGUGAGUGAAGAAGUAUUUCGGUAUGUAAAGCUCUAUCAGCAGGGAAGAAAGAAAUGACGGUACCUGACUAAGAAGCCCCGGCUAACUACGUGCCAGCAGCCGCGGUAAUACGUAGGGAGCAAGCGUUGUUCGGAAUGACUGGGCGUAAAGGGUGCGUAGGCGGUUGUACAAGUUAGAAGUGAAAUACCCAGGGCUUAACUCGGGUGCUGCUUCUAAAACUGUAUGACUUGAGUGCAGUAG
rnacentral:rRNA from 1 species